rnacentral:tRNA from 1 species
GGCUCGUUGGAGAAACGGUUAACUCACAUGCCUUUCACGCAUGCACUCGCGGGUUCGAACCCCGCACGAGUCACCA